rnacentral:rRNA from 1 species
UACGAAGGGGGCGAGCGUUGUUCGGAUUUACUGGGCGUAAAGGGCGCGCAGGCGGCUCAUUUUGUCAGGCGUGAAAGCCCGGGCUUAACCUGGGAGGUGCGUUUGAUACGGAUGGGCUAGAGUUCGGGAGAGGAGAGUGGAAUUCCCAGUGUAGAGGUGAAAUUCGUAGAUAUUGGGAAGAACACCGGUGGCGAAGGCGGCUCUCUGGACCGAGACUGACGCUGAGGCGGCGAAAAGCGU